AUUGAACGCUGGCGGCAGGCCUAACACAUGCAAGUCGCACGAGUGGCGGACGGGUGAGUAAGGUAUGGGAAACGGCCUGAUGGAGGGGGAUAACUACUGGAAACGGUAGCUAAUACCGCAUACCAUCAGAUGUGCCCAGAUGGGAUUGGCUAGUUGGAGGGGUAACGGCUCACCAAGGCGACGAUCCCUAGCGGGUCUGAGAGGAUGACCGGCCACACGGGAACUGCGACACGGUCCAGACUCCUACGGUAGGCAGCAGGGGGGAAUAUUGGACAAUGGGCGCAAGCCUGAUGCAGCCAUGCCGCGUGUAUGAAGAAGGCCUUCGGGUUGUAAAGUACUUUCAGCGGGGAGGCGUUACCCGCAGAAGAAGCACCGGCUAACUCCGUGCCAGCAGCCGCGGUAAUUC
rnacentral:rRNA from 1 species